rnacentral:rRNA from 1 species
CUUUUAAAUAACUCAAAACUUUCAACAGCGGAUCUCUUGGUUCUGGAAUCCAUGAAAAAGGCAUCGAAAUGGUAUAAUUAAUGUGAAUUGCAAAAUUCAAUGAAUCAUCCAAUCUUUGAACGCACAUUGCGCCCAUUAGUACUCUAGGGGGCAUGCCUGUUCCAGCGUCAUUACCACCCUUAAGCCUAGCUUACUAUUGGGAACCUACGUGCGGCAGCUACCCUGUAGCUACCCUGUAACUCCUUAAAAACCACGGAGGACACGUGGAUUCCUCUGAUCUUACUAACUUUUCUAGGUUCUGAGGGCGCCGCGGCCCCUGCCGUAAAACCCCAACUUUUAGUGGUUGACCUCGGAUCAGGUAGGAAUACCCGCUGAACUUAAGCAUAUCAAUAAGCGGAGGAAAAGAAACCAACAGGGAUUGCCUUAGUAACGGCGAGUGAAGCGGCAACAGCUCAAAUUUGAAAGCUGGCCUUCGGGUCCGCGUUGUAAUUUGUAGAGGAUGCUUUUGGUUAGGUGCCUUACGAGUUCCCUGGAACGGGACGCCUUAGAGGGUGAGAGCCCCGUACGUUUGGUUACCGAGCCUCUGUAAAGCUCCUUCGACGAGUCGAGUAGUUUGGGAAUGCUGCUCUAAAUGGGAGGUAAAUUUCUUCUAAAGCUAAAUACCGGCCAGAGACCGAUAGCGCACAAGUAGAGUGAUCGAAAGAUGAAAAGCACUUUGAAAAGAGGGUUAAAUAGCACGUGAAAUUGUUGAAAGGGAAGCGUUUAUGACCAGACUUUUUCCUAGCGGAUCAUCCGGCGUUCUCGCCGGUGCACUUC